UCUGUAGGCGGAUCUGUAAGUCAGUGGUGAAAUCUCAUAGCUUAACUAUGAAACUGCCAUUGAUACUGCAGGUCUUGAGUAAGGUAGAAGUAGCUGGAAUAAGUAGUGUAGCGGUGAAAUGCAUAGAUAUUACUUAGAACACCAAUUGCGAAGGCAGGUUACUAUGUCUUAACUGACGCUGAUGGACGAAAGCGUGGGGAGCGAACAGGAUUAGAUACCCUGGUAGUC
rnacentral:rRNA from 1 species